GCAAGGCAUACAGUGACAAGGAGGCUAAGCAGCUGCAGGAGUUUGUGGCUGAGGGUGGGGGGCUGCUGAUUGGGGGCCAGGCCUGGUGGUGGGCCUCCCAGAACCCUGGCCACUGCCCCUUGGCUGGCUUCCCUGGUAACAUCAUCCUCAACUGCUUUGGCCUCAGCAUCCUGCCUCAGACUCUCAAAGCAGGCUGCUUCCCCGUUCCCACCCCUGAGAUGAGAAGCUACCACUUCCGCAAGGCGCUCUCUCAAUUCCAGGCUAUACUGAACCACGAGAAUGGGAACUUGGAAAAGAGCUGUCUGGCAAAGUUGAGAGUUGAUGGUGCAGCCUUCCUACAGAUUCCUGCGGAGGGGGUCCCUGCUUACAUAUCCCUGCACAGGCUCCUGAGGAAGAUGCUACGAGGGUCUGGCCUCCCAGCUGUGAGCCGGGAAAAUCCAGUUGCCAGUGACUCCUAUGAGGCUGCGGUGCUCUCCCUGGCCACUGGGCUGGCUCACUCUGGAACUGACUGCUCCCAGCUGGCCCAGGGGCUUGGCACCUGGACCUGCUCCUCCAGUUUGUACCCCUCAAAACACCCCAUCACCGUGGAGAUCAAUGGAAUCAACCCAGAGUCUCACUCUGUCAUCCAGGUUGGAAUGCAGUAGCGCGAUCUCAGCUCAUGCAACCUCCACCUCCUGGGUUUAAGCAAUUCUCCUCUCUCAGCCUCCUGUGUUGCUGGGACUACAGGCACACGCCACCAUGCCUGGCUAAUUUUUGUAUUUUUAGUAGAGAGGGAGUUUCACCGUAAAGGUAAGGCUGGUCCGGAACUCCUGACCUCAGGUGAUCCACCUGCCUUGGCCUCCCAAAGUGCUGGGAUUACAGUCGUGAGCCACUGGGCCCAGCUGACUCCAUUCUUCAUCAGGUACUUUCAAGAAGAUGGGGAUUGGGACACUGCUUAAGGUUUAGAGGGGAUGAGUCUAAGAAGUAUGGAUGACUUGAGAUACACAGGGGAGAAGCUGUACCACUGGGAGGGGCUGGGAGGCCCCAAGUGGAGAUAUACUCACAUAGGAAGGAAGAACUGAGCCUUCUCUGUGACUUUUGUCAGGCAACAAUGAUUGCUGGGUGAGUACCGGGCUCUACCUCCUGGAAGGACAAAAUGCAGAAGUCUCACUGUCUGAAGCUGCUGCCUCUGCUGGCCUGAGGGUACAGAUUGGCUGCCACACCGAUGACCUUACCAAGGCCAGGAAGCUAUCUCGAGCCCCCGUGGUGACUCACCAAUGCUGGAUGGACAGGACUGAGCGGUCAGUCUCCUGCCUCUGGGGCGGCCUCCUCUACGUCAUCGUGCCCAAGGGCAGCCAACUAGGCCCUGUGCCUGUCACUAUCAGGGGAGCUGUGCCUGCCCCAUACUACAAGCUGGGUAAGACAUCGCUGGAGGAGUGGAAGAGGCAGAUGCAGGAGAACCUGGCUCCCUGGGGAGAGCUGGCCACGGACAACAUCAUCCUGACAGUGCCAACCACAAACCUUCAGGCCCUGAAGGACCCCGAGCCUGUGCUCCGCCUCUGGGAUGAGAUGAUGCAGGCUGUGGCCAGGCUGGCGGCUGAGCCCUUCCCUUUCCGCCGUCCUGAGAGGAUUGUGGCUGAUGUGCAGAUCUCAGCUGGCUGGAUGCAUUCAGGAUACCCCAUCAUGUGCCACCUGGAGUCUGUGAAGGAGAUCAUCAAUGAGAUGGACAUGAGGAGCAGGGGUGUGUGGGGCCCCAUCCAUGAGCUGGGCCACAACCAACAGUGGCAUGGAUGGGAGUUCCCCCCACACACUACUGAGGCCACCUGUAACCUUUGGUCAGUCUACGUGCAUGAAACAGUCCUGGGGA
ensembl:lncRNA novel transcript